rfam:Hordeum vulgare subsp. vulgare, WGS project CAJW01000000 data, contig: morex_contig_171170
UGUAUACUCCCUUCGUCCCAAAAUUCUUGUCUUAGGUUUGUUUAGAAAUGAAUGUAUCAAAAUACUAAAACAUGAAUAGAUACAUUCAUAUCUAAACAAAUCUAAGUUGAUACAUUCAUUUCUAAACAAAUCUAAGACAAGAAUUUUGGGAUGGAGGGAGUAUUAA